AGCAGCCGCGGUAAUUCCAGCUCCAAUAGCGUAUAUUAAAGUUGUNGCAGUUAAAAAGCUCGUAGUUGAAUUUCGGGGUCAGCAGGUUGGUCGUGCCUCUGGUACGCACUGGUUUCGCUGAUUCCUCCUUUCUGAAGAACUGUAAUGUCAUUAAUUUGGUGUUGCAGGGAAACAGGACUGUUACUUUGAAAAAAUUAGAGUGUUUAAAGCAAGCUAACGCUUGAAUACAUUAGCAUGGAAUAAUGAAAUAGGACGUUUGAUCCUAUUUUGUUGGUUUCUAGGAUUGACGUAAUGAUUAAUAGGGAUAGUUGGGGGCAUUAGUAUUCAAUUGUCAGAGGUGAAAUUCUUGGAUUUAUUGAAGACUAACUACUGCGAAAGCAUUUGCCAAGGAUGUUUUCAUUAAUCAAGAACGAAAGUUAGGGGAUCGAAGACGAUCAGAUACCGUCGUAGUCUUAACCAUAAACUAUGCCGACUAGGGAUCGGGUGAUGUUAAUUUUUUAAUGACUCA
rnacentral:rRNA from 1 species